rnacentral:lncRNA from 1 species
UCACCGAUCUGGCUUCGGAGAUCGAUAGCGAGAAUGUGACUAUGAUAUUCGGAUCCAUGAUUUUACCGGUGGGGACUGUGAAUAUCAACAGCAUAUGGCAAAGCGGAACGGUGGUGGAUAACGAAAUUUCAUCACAUCCCCUUAAACCUGCGAACAAGAAAGCUACGAUGAUAUUGCGUCUCACUCAGACGACUGAUAAGGGUAACAAUACCGGAACUCCACCUGGUAAAUCCGCCGGGAAUGAACUACAUUUGGGUGUUGUUCUUUCUACUUUGUUCUUCCUUGGGUUAUGUUGUUUGAUUUGAAGUCCUUUGAUCUGUUCUAGAGUCGUAGUACUGCCAUCGUUAUCUUCAAUUCUAAAGUCUGCAUCA